GGCCUGGAUCCUGCAUGCAUUUGGGUGCUUGUUUUGUAGUUGCAGCUUGCAAGUAACAUUCCACGAAUUCCAUACAUUGUUAUUUUUCUUUGUUUAUCUAGUGUUAUUUGGUAUUCUAACAUGAAAGAGUAUGAAGAGAAGGUAGUAGAAUUGGCAAAAAAUCGUCCCAAGCUCCAGGUGCUUACAAAUAAGUUCAAGGAAGUCCAAAUGACUUGCCCCUUAUUCGAUGUAGCACGCUGGGUGAGGAAUCUGGAGAGGGCAUAUUUCAAGAUGUGGAAUCUGUACUGCUCGGGCGGGCAUGAAUCCACAACCCUCCAAAGUGUUUGAAAAUGAUACUGAGUUCCCAUAUGAUAGAUAGCUUGGGACAGAGGGAGCUGUAGAUAGAGAAAAGAAGAAGAGAAAUCAUAUAUUUACAUAUAUAAACAA